rnacentral:rRNA from 1 species
UACAGAGGGGGCAAGCGUUGUUCGGAAUUACUGGGCGUAAAGGGCGCGUAGGCGGCCUUCUAAGUCAGACGUGAAAUCCCUCGGCUCAACCGGGGAACUGCGUCUGAGACUGGAAGGCUUGAAUCCGGGAGAGGGAUGUGGAAUUCCAGGUGUAGCGGUGAAAUGCGUAGAUAUCUGGAGGAACACCGGUGGCGAAGGCGGCAUCCUGGACCGGCAUUGACGCUGAGGCGCGAAAGCCAGGGGAGCAAACGGG